rnacentral:rRNA from 3 species
AUCGUACCCCAAACCGACACAGGUGGUCAGGUAGAGAAUACCAAGGCGCUUGAGAGAACUCGGGUGAAGGAACUAGGCAAAAUGGUGCCGUAACUUCGGGAGAAGGCACGCUGGUGUGUAGGUGAAGCCCCUGCGGGUGGAGCUGAGACCAGUCGAAGAUACCAGCUGGCUGCAACUGUUUAUUAAAAACACAGCACUGUGCAAACACGAAAGUGGACGUAUACGGUGUGACGCCUGCCCGGUGCCGGAAGGUUAAUUGAUGGG